UACGGAGGGGGGCGAGCGUUAUUCGGAAUUAUUGGGGCGUAAAGGGCGCGUAGGCGGCCCGGUAAGUCAAAGGUGAAAUCCCUCGGCUCAACUGAGGAACUGCCUUUGAAACUGUCGGGCUUGAGGCCGGGAGGGGGUAGCGGAAUUCCCAGUGUAGCGGUGAAAUGCGUAGAUAUUGGGAGGAAUACCGGUGGCGAAGGCGGGCAUCCUGGACCGAGAUUGACGCUGAUGAGCGAAAGCUAGGGGAGCAACGGG
rnacentral:rRNA from 1 species